UACGUAGGCAGCGAGCGUUGUUCGGAGUUACUGGGCGUAAAGCGUGCGUAGGCGGUUGUCUAAGUUUGGUGUGAAAUCUCCUGCUUAACUGGGAGGGUGCGCCGAAAACUGGGUGACUGGAGUGUCGGAGAGGUAAGCGGAAUUCCUGGUGUAGCGGUGAAAUGCGUAGAGAUCAGGAGGAACACCUGUGGUGUGAGACAGCUUACUGGACGAUAACUGACGCUGAGGCACGAAAGCGUGGGUAGCAAACAGG
rnacentral:rRNA from 1 species